GAAAGUCUGACGGAGCAACGCCGCGUGAGUGAUGAAGGUUUUCGGAUCGUAAAGCUCUGUUGUUAGGGAAGAACAAAGUACCGUUCGAAUAGGGCGGUACCUUGACGGUACCUAACCAGAAAGCCACGGCUAACUACGUGCCAGCAGCCGCGGUAAUACGUAGGUGGCAAGCGUUGUCCGGAAUUAUUGGGCGUAAAGGGCUCGCAGGCGGUUUCUUAAGUCUGAUGUGAAAGCCCCCGGCUCAACCGGGGAGGGUCAUUGGAAACUGGGGAACUUGAGUGCAGAAGAGGAGAGUGGAAUUCCACGUGUAGCGGUGAAAUGCGUAGAGAUGUGGAGGAACACCAGUGGCGAAGGCGACUCUCUGGUCUGUAACUGACGCUGAGGAGCGAAAGCGUGGGGAGCGAACAGGAUUAGAUACCCUGGUAGUCCACGCCGUAAACGAUGAGUGCUAAGUGUUAGGGGGUUUCCGCCCCUUAGUGCUGCAGCUAACGCAUUAAGCACUCCGCCUGGGGAGUACGGUCGCAAGACUGAAACUCAAAGGAAUUGACGGGGGCCCGCACAAGCGGUGGAGCAUGUGGUUUAAUUCGAAGCAACGCGAAGAACCUUACCAGGUCUUGACAUCCUCUGACAAUCCUAGAGAUAGGACGUCCCCUUCGGGGGCAGAGUGACAGGUGGUGCAUGGU
rnacentral:rRNA from 1 species